GUGGGGAAUAUUGGACAAUGGGCGAAAGCCUGAUCCAGCCAUGCCGCGUGUGUGAAGAAGGUCUUCGGAUUGUAAAGCACUUUAAGUUGGGAGGAAGGGCAGUAAGUUAAUACCUUGCUGUUUUGACGUUACCGACAGAAUAAGCACCGGCUAACUUCGUGCCAGCAGCCGCGGUAAUACGAAGGGUGCAAGCGUUAAUCGGAAUUACUGGGCGUAAAGCGCGCGUAGGUGGUUCGUUAAGUUGGAUGUGAAAGCCCCGGGCUCAACCUGGGAACUGCAUCCAAAACUGGCGAGCUAGAGUACGGUAGAGGGUGGUGGAAUUUCCUGUGUAGCGGUGAAAUGCGUAGAUAUAGGAAGGAACACCAGUGGCGAAGGCGACCACCUGGACUGAUACUGACACUGAGGUGCGAAAGCGUGGGGAGCAAACAGGAUUAGAAACCCCGGUAGUCC
rnacentral:rRNA from 1 species